GCUGAAAGGAAAAAAUAUGAUGAUUUGUUUCAAGAAAGGGAGUGACUUACUUCAAAAUGUCAUUUUAAAAUUUUUAUUCUUUAAUGAUAUUCUGGUGUUAUUACCAAAUGUUUAGCAGUAUGAAACCUAUAAUAUUAUAUACCAUACUAUAUACCCUAUUUUACUUAUAAAGUUAAUAAUCUGUAAAGUAAUUUGUAAAAAAUUUUUAAUUGUAAAAUUGCUACAUGAGAAGACAAGUUGUUAGAUGAAAUUCAAAUAUUCUCUAUGUUUGUGUUGUGUGGGUCAAAAAAUAAUAAACAAAGAUGAUAUUGAUUGUGAUGAUCAAGAGAUUCAUUUUAAGACACAUCAAUCUUCAUCAUCUUUAAAUAAAAAGGAUAAACAUUAUGGAUUUCCAUUAUCUCAAGCAAACUUUCAAUAUUAUGUGUUGCUUCUCUUAAAUGAGAUAAAAACCCAAGGAUGCAAAAAACUUAAUAUAAAAUAGUGUGAAGAAAAAGUAGUAACUGAAAUGAACAGCAUAAUAGAAUUUGAUAAGUUUGACUCAGCACUUGACAAUGUUUCAUCUAGUAACUCAGUAGUAUCUCUGCAGUUGUAAAUUGCUAAAUACUGAUUUGACAGA